UACGGGGGGGGGCAAGCGUUGUUCGGAAUUACUGGGCGUAAAGGGCUCGUAGGCGGCCAACUAAGUCAUACGUGAAAUCCCUCGGCUUAACCGGGGAACUGCGUCUGAUACUGGAUGGCUUGAGUUCGGGAGAGGGAUGCGGAAUUCCAGGUGUAGCGGUGAAAUGCGUAGAUAUCGGGAGGAACACCAGUGGCGAAGGCGACUUCCUGGCCUGUUCUUGACGCUGAGGCGCGAAAGCUAGGGGAGCAAACGGG
rnacentral:rRNA from 1 species